AAUAGAGAAGAGAUGUAAAGGGGUCAGGGGAUAAAGGAACAUUUCACUAUAUAUGUCCAUUAAUGUGCUAUUAACAUAUCAUAUAUGUCAUAAACAUUUAGAAUUUCCUCACUACACGCAAAUACGAGCGUUUCUGCAUCUCACCAGUAGAAACGGGCCAGCUACAUUUCCGGGCUGUAAGCAAACCACAAUAUCCAGAAUUCAUAUCGAUUUCAGGACGUAGUACCACCCGUGGAGGUGUAUCCAGUUGAUGUGAGAAAUAUCAAAACAUCUGUGUUUGUAGCCAGCACUUUCAGCCAGAUGGUUUCGAAACGGAACUGAAGUCUCAACUAAUGGGGUUGCCAUGUCGACCGAAUGUUGAAAAGUGAUGCUAUUCCAUCGAUUUUCCCCUUCGCUUCAAAGAGGAGGGCAUCCGAUCCGCCAACAUCAGAGCAGCAGAAAAGAGGUCAAGCUGAGAUUCCCAUCAACAUAUGCAGAGGCGUCAACAUCAAGCUCAGCACCCGGAACUAGUGAGACUUAAACAAAUCUUCUGCAAGAGGUGGAAUCAGUGGGUGGUGAAGAAAGUGUAUGAGAGGCUAGUCCACCUGGCUGUGGAGUGCAGGAAGAACCAGAUGGUUGUCUACAAGGAGCCAGAGUCACAGCCCCACAAACCCAACAUCGCCACAGCGCAAAAGCCUGCAAAACCAGCUGCCAUUACCCUACACAAGAAGAGGUUCACCAGCUGAAGAACAUUCUAGAACCUGCCUGGAACAUUCAACCAACACAACAUCCAUAUUCAGUUAGACUGAUGUUGUAGUAUAAUAUAGAAUGCCCAGUAUGCGCACAACUGCAUUGUGGUAUAGAUAUUGCUACAGUAGCUGUUGUACAGUAUGUAUAUAAUGGUGUUUUAUAUAUUUUUUAAACUGUACUGACAAGUGACUAAAUGAUUCCAGCUGCAUAAGAAACCAAUAAAGAGUUGACUUCAA